rnacentral:siRNA from 1 species
UCUGUGUUCGUUUGCCUGUCG